GCAGGUGUAGUUUAUUUAUAAAAUAUUAGUUUUGUAAACUAAUGAUAGUGUAUGAUGUGUCACUUAUCUGUU
rfam:Schistosoma curassoni strain Dakar, Senegal genome assembly, scaffold: SCTD_contig0014252